GUGCUCGGUUCAGCAGUGCAUACACUAAAACUAGAACAUACAGAGAAGAUUACGAUAUCUCCUGAACAAGGAUAACACGCAAAUUCAUGAAGGGUUCCAUAUUUUU